rnacentral:rRNA from 1 species
UACGGGGGGAGCAAGCGUUGUUCGGAUUUACUGGGCGUAAAGGGUGCGUGGGCGGCGGGGCAAGUCUGAUGUGAAAUCCCGGGGCUCAACCCCGGAACUGCAUUGGAUACUGCCUUGCUUGAGUACUGGAGAGGGAACUGGAAUUUACGGUGUAGCAGUGAAAUGCGUAGAGAUCGUAAGGAAGGCCAGUGGCGAAGGCGAGUUCCUGGACAGUUACUGACGCUGAGGCACGAAGGCCAGGGGAGCAAACGGG